AUAUAUAUAGUGACUGCCUCUAAUCUAUAAAUAUUGAAGGAUGUUAAUCUUUUUGGUCACAUAUUUAUAUUGUUGCUUUUUUUAUUUGAUAUUAGAGUAUAUGAUCUAUGUAAUCUCUACUUUUUAAAUGUACAGCUUUCAAGCAAAUGUAUGAUUUUUUCAUAAAUGGACAUAAGAUUGAUUAUAUAUAUAUGUACGUGUGUGUGCAGAGAUUAUAUAUAUACAUACAUGCAUAUAUUCGUGUAUACAUUUGCAUAUUAUAAUUUAUCUACUGUUAUUCACUUUCUCACCUUCCUUGCCUGAUUUUGACCUUUAAUCUUGAAAUAAUUUUAUUAACUAUAUACUAUAGUUUGCUUUUUCUCACCUCUCCUUACAUUUUCAAUAUAAUUUCUUUCCAAAUAUUUAGGAUGUAUAUUGUGUUAUAAUUGCUAUAUCAACAUGAAUUGUGCCUAUUAUGAUUGUAAAAGUCCCUCUUUACACUGCUUUUUACUUUUGAGCUUAUAUCUAAGAUUUUCUGAUGAAAUAUUGACAUUUUUGCCUUUCUUAAUUUUGCAUUUGCCUGGUAUCUCUUGGCUUUUCCCUUUAUUUUCAACCGUUCUUUAUCACUUGGUCUGAAGCAAGUUUCUUGUAACAGCACAUUGCUCGAUUUUGUUUUUUUAACCUAAUUUGACAGCUUUUGUCUUUUUAUAGAAUAUUCAGUAAGAGGAUUCAGUUUUCAGAAUGAACUAGAGCACAGAAGGGGGACUGCCUCUGCAUAUUUAAGUAGAUUGUAUUCCAAAGAUAUGAACAUUGUUGAGGCAGGAGAACUAACUAGCUUCUUACAUAGAAAGGUGUUUCUAUAGGGAAUGCUCCACAGAAUUCCAAUUAAUUGUUUCACAGAUUAAGAGAGUCACCAGGGUUCCCUUGUAACAUUUCUCAUCAAAGAGUGUUCUAUAGGGAAGAGAUAAAACCUAAACAGUCCCGGAAGCUGAGACAAGAAACUGAAAAAAAAAGGAAAGUGAGCAACAAGAUAAUGUAAGUCACAACUGAGCCAAUUAAGGAGCAGGAGAUGCAGCAGCAUGUCCCAAACAAAACUGAUUGGAGGUCAAGUGUGGACAACCAGAGCAAGUUCUUGCACAGCUAAUGUAUCCCCAGGUGUGAACUGAGUAACAUGAAGAAAGGCAUCCUCCUGCCACCUCCUGAAUCAGUAGAAAAAGACAAAAGCUUUUGAUGGGAUUAUGCUGGAGUCCAUGUCAUGGAACCAAACUGGAAAUUUUCUGGCAUGAUUUUAGGCGUUUUGCAUGAACUCUAAUUCAUUGAAAUGUAACAACCUUAUAAGGUCCCUGCAGGACCAUGUCACCCAAAAUAAUGCAUCAGAUAUAAGGACUUGUCUUUUACUCAUUUACUUCUUGGACCUACUUAGAAAACUGUGGCAGCACUGUUUUGUUAUUAUUGUCUUAAGUGCAUGAUCCAACUUGGAAAGGUUCCAGGUGUGUCUUAGUUUUGAAGCUUCACAGCAGCUGAGUAGUAGUGUGUGGUGAGCAUAACAAAUACCUAAAACUUUCAGGAAGGUGAAUCCUUCUCUCUGACCGUGGGAACUAUGGUCUGAAGAUGAAUGCCAAUCGCAAGAUAAUUCAAAUAUUGAAAUUAUGAAACAAUGACUUCCAAAUCAGCUAUGAUAAUGUGAUCUACAAGCUAAGGUCUAAUAUCCUCAAAACAAAUGGAAAGACAGAACAUCUUAGCAGGGAAAUAAAAGAUUCAACUGGCUCAUGGUUUGUACCGGGGGAACCAAGCCCAUGGUUGGGAUCCAGGGGUCCCUCCAGUCUCCUGUUCCAUGGUCGCACACACCUUGAGGGCACCCACACGGUUUGAUCGUCUCCUUAUAUUGCUGCUGGCAGACUCGUGACGGGGUUUCUCAUUCAUCUGGGUGUACAAGAAGCAUGGUGCCAGCAUCUGCUCAGCUUCUGAUGAGGGCUCUGGGAAGCUUUUACUCAUGGAGGAAGGCAAGGGGAACCAGCAUGUCACAUGAUGAGAAAGGAAGCAUGAGAGAGAGGUGCCAGACUCUUCAACAACCAGAAGAGAAAGUCAGAGAGAAUCAAAGCAUGUGAAGAGAGACCUCACGCAAGGAGGUCUAGGAGCCUAGAGUGAUCUUCAGCCAACAGUCAAAAAGAUAACUGGGACAACCACAAGGAACUGACUUCUAUAAGAGAAAUGAGCCUGGAAAAGGACUCCAAGCUUCAGAUGAAAAUGUAGUUGGCUGACACUUUGAUUUUAGUCUUGUGAAACCCUAAGCAGAGAAUCCAAACUCUGUUCCGUGACAGCAGACAACCGUCAUGCUGAAGCUUUUCUGUUUAACACCUACCAAAAUACCUGUUGUAAAUUUGCCCCUGGGUUCAAAUAAAGCAUUCUGCCUCCAGCCUGAUACUUCAUAAUUUGACCAUGGGCUCCAUUUUAUUACAAAAGAGUACAUAUCCAUGUCUAAGAGAAAUUCUGAAAGGAGGCUUCCACUGUUCAUAAGGCACUACUUUAUUAAAUAUAAGGAUGACAGAUGAUUUUGGUACAUUUAUUUUCUAUGAAAGCAUGUUGGAUAAUGACACAGAUUUAAGUAGAAUAAAUUAAGCAAACACAUAUUAACAUUUUUCAUUUUUCAGAGUGAGGUCUAAGGACCAAGGUGAUUCAUGAGUCAAAUGAGGUACUGGAACACUUUUACUGAAAAGUUCUUUGAUUGUUCCGAAGCAUCUGUAUUUGUUCUCUCAGGGUUAGGAAAUGUCACU
rnacentral:lncRNA from 1 species